AGAGUUUGAUCCUGGCUCAGAUUGAACGCUGGCGGCAUGCCUUACACAUGCAAGUCGAACGGCAGCGCGGGGCAACCUGGCGGCGAGUGGCGAACGGGUGAGUAAUAUAUCGGAACGUACCCUGGAGUGGGGGAUAACGUAGCGAAAGUUACGCUAAUACCGCAUACGAUCUAAGGAUGAAAGCAGGGGACCGCAAGGCCUUGUGCUCCUGGAGCGGCCGAUAUCUGAUUAGCUAGUUGGUGGGGUAAAGGCCUACCAAGGCAUCGAUCAGUAGCUGGUCUGAGAGGACGACCAGCCACACUGGAACUGAGACACGGUCCAGACUCCUACGGGAGGCAGCAGUGGGGAAUUUUGGACAAUGGGCGAAAGCCUGAUCCAGCAAUGCCGCGUGAGUGAAGAAGGCCUUCGGGUUGUAAAGCUCUUUUGUCAGGGAAGAUACGGUGAGGGCUAAUAUCCCUUGCUAAUGACGGUACCUGAAGAAUAAGCACCGGCUAACUACGUGCCAGCAGCCGCGGUAAUACGUAGGGUGCAAGCGUUAAUCGGUAUUACUGGGCGUAAAGCGUGCGCAGGCGGUUUUGUAAGUCUGUCGUGAAAGCCCCGGGCUCAACCUGGGAAUUGCGAUGGAGACUGCAAGGCUUGAAUCUGGCAGAGGGGGGUAGAAUUCCACGUGUAGCAGUGAAAUGCGUAGAGAUGUGGAGGAACACCGAUGGCGAAGGCAGCCUCCUGGGUCAAGAUUGACGCUCAUGCACGAAAGCGUGGGGAGCAAACAGGAUUAGAUACCCUGGUAGUCC
rnacentral:rRNA from 1 species